AUUGAACGCUGGCGGCAGGCCUAACACAUGCAAGUCGAGCGGAUGAAGGGAGCUUGCUCCUGGAUUCAGCGGCGGACGGGUGAGUAAUGCCUAGGAAUCUGCCUGGUAGUGGGGGAUAACGUCCGGAAACGGGCGCUAAUACCGCAUACGUCCUGAGGGAGAAAGUGGGGGAUCUUCGGACCUCACGCUAUCAGAUGAGCCUAGGUCGGAUUAGCUAGUUGGUGGGGUAAAGGCCUACCAAGGCGACGAUCCGUAACUGGUCUGAGAGGAUGAUCAGUCACACUGGAACUGAGACACGGUCCAGACUCCUACGGGAGGCAGCAGUGGGGAAUAUUGGACAAUGGGCGAAAGCCUGAUCCAGCCAUGCCGCGUGUGUGAAGAAGGUCUUCGGAUUGUAAAGCACUUUAAGUUGGGAGGAAGGGCAGUAAGUUAAUACCUUGCUGUUUUGACGUUACCAAUAGAAUAAGCACCGGCUAACUUCGUG
rnacentral:rRNA from 1 species